CGACAUUCUGGGAGGGCCUUUUCUGCAAAGGCAGUCAUGGCUUUUAGCCCAAGGCCCCCUUUCUUCCCUUUUCUUGUGACAUUUUGGGAAGAUGAGUCAUUCGGCAGGGAUGGAUCGUCUCCCCCACUUCUAAGCACGCGUGCUGGUCAGCGGGAGGUUUAUUCAGGGAGUCCUUUGAGAAUCUGUCCUUGUCCAGAGUGACUGGUUGGUGUGUCUUAUCCUCAAUCUGCAGGCACCCGAGGUGGGAGUCGGGCCAACGGCCUCUUGUGUUUUCAUGAGCUGAUAUUUUUAAAAAUCGAAGGAUGCUGCUUUUCUUUCUCGACUAUGGAACCAGCACCGGAAUAUCCCAAUAACGAGGAUCACAUUUGGGAACAUGUGACACACAUGGAUGCUGGCCCAGAUGAGAAUGCACAGGAGGCUGGAAUUAGCAACCUCAAGGCAGGGCCCCGGUCACAGAUCCAGCUCAAAACCCAAACCGGGUUUUCCCAGAUGCAGAGAAUAACAGGAUUGAAACAGACAACCCCUCUUACCGGAUCUCCGUUUCCUAUCUUUGACUCAAACCCAGCCUGACUCCUGGAAUAACAUUCAAGUGUCCUCCCGUUGGUUCAGAAUAGAAGUGCCAUGUCCCCUGAAGAUAAAAUUGGAAGCUUGAGAAACUGAGAGGAAAAGAAAAACGGACGGCCAGGUUCCCAUCACCCACGUGGGCUGGACCUCAGGUGUCUCUUGGGAUCUUGCUACUCAAAGUGUGGCCUGAGGACUGGCAGGAUCCCAGGGAGCUAGUGAGAGAUGCAGACUCUCAGUGCCCUCUGCCAGACCUCCCCAGUUAGAAUCUGCCCAUUAACCUAUUAACUGCCCCCCCCUACUCCCCACCAUGACUCCCAUUCACAGCAGCAUUGAGCCCCAGUCACUGCCUGGGGGCUCAGCCAGCGUCAGCCUGGCCUGGUUCAGGUAACAGGACUGGCAUUUAUCUUUGAUUUCCCCAAAGCAGGCAGAGCUGCUUUCAUGGGUGGGCAAGUUGUGCCAUCAUCUCCAGGGCCCUGUGCUCGGAAAGGCCCCAUAUAUUUCGUGCGCUGCAUUGCUGUCUGGAAAUUCGUAAUAUUCUGAACCAGGAGCCCAAUGUUUUCAUUGUCCUCUGAGUUACACAAAUGAGGUACUCCUACUAACCCCAUACCCUGGGAUCCUCUAGGACUGGGGCCUAGAAUCGGCCCAGCUUUGGCCACCUUCCUUCCCCAAGCCAGAUCCCCAAGUGCCGUUUCUGCCCCACACAGACACAUCCUGAGGCCGGCUGCAGCCUGGCGACGUGGGGAAUUCAGGGCACCCCACCUGACUGGAGGGAUUUGUCCUUCUGGAGGCAAGGAUUGCUAGAACUGCCACCUGAAUCCCACACUUGAGUUGUCUCUUACUUAGCUUUUAAAUGUCCUGGGUGCUAUGCACUAUCUUUAACUUGCCUCAUCUCAUUAAAUUCUUCCAAUAGCCAGGGGGCUAUGUAUUAUUUUUCCAGUUUGACAGAGAAGAAAACUCAAAAACAUUAAGUAAUGGGCCAAAAAUCAAAUAACAGAUCAAAAGCAAAACCAGGAUAUAAACCAACCUUUGUCUGGAUACACAGCCUCCAGACUACCCUCCCUCGCUGCACCUGGUGGUCCUCUUCCGUGUCUGAAUGAGGUUCCCUCCCUCCAGCCCACCCAGCCAGGUGCUCACUGCACGCCCAAGGCUUGCCUGUCCUCCCUCCACCAUUGCUCUAGCGACCCCCACCCUCACAGUGCUUCCAAAGCAGAUGCUGCAGGGCUAACACGGGAAGGGCCUGUGUAUUCAUUUCUCAAGGCUGCUGUAACAAAUUAGCCCCCAACUUGGUGUCUUAAGAAAAGAGAAAUAUAUUCUCUCAGAGUUUUGAAGUUCAGAAGUCCAAUAUCAUGGCCCUGGAAUGAAGGUGUUGGCAGAGCCACAGUCUCCCUCAGAGGCCUGGGGACAGUCCUCUUCCAGAUUCUGGUGGCUGCAGUCUUCCUUGGCCUGUGGCCACAUCACUCCAGUCCCAAGGGCCAGCAGUGUCAAGUCUCUGCUCUGAUUUCAGAUCAUCUUCUCGGUGCAUGUCAAGCCUCCCUCUGCUUCCCUUUCCUGUAGGUAUAUGUGUGCUUGCACUCGGGGCCCACCGGUAAUGCUGGACGACGACCCCAACCUGAGAUCCUUAACUUCAUUCCAUCUGCAAUGGUCCCUUUGGCCAUAGAAAGUAACAUUCACAGUUUUGGGGGAUUGGGAUGUAAAUAUCUUUGGGGAGGUCAUUUUUUACCCAGCCAAAGUUGACUGAUAGACUAAUAGUUGGAGGAGUUCAACAGAAAAAGAAAGGCAAAAAAAAAAAAAAAAAGGCCUUCUGGCCUUGUCUUCAGGAGGCUCCUCUUCUGGCCCCGCCCUCAGUAGGCUCCUCUCUUGAGGAACCCCCAAGGCAACCAGUUCCUCUGUACUUAAGCCACCACUCAGAGAAAGGGGAGGUUUGCGGAGAAGGCAGCAGGAAACUUAGUUAAGGCCCUAGAGCUAAAGAGCCCAAGGAUGGGCCUUCUAAGGACAGCAGAACAGAAAGGUAAACUGCUCUGGGGUCUUACUUCCCUUCUUAGAGACCUCUCCCAGCUUUGUAGAUAAAAUAUGUAUGAAAUUCAUAGACUCUGUUAAGAAUUCUGCUCUGGGACCAUCAUAUUUUCAAGCAUGGCUAAUAAACCUCCUCUUCCUAU
rnacentral:lncRNA from 1 species